CAAUUAAUGUUAAUAGUCAUCCGAACUUGAUUUUUUAUAUUUUGCUUCCUGAUCCAAAGAGAAGAAAAUCGGGGCUUUAUGCUUUAUAUAGAACUGAUUCAUCUUGCAAAAACAAACUUUGGUCGCAAAACAUGUCUAAAAUAUUAUGUACAAAAAAGUCAUUGCAAUAAAUCUCAAGUUAUUCAAGUCAGUGAACAAAUAAGUACUGACCAUUCGUUGACUGGAGUGGAAGAUGUUAGUGUCUUGAACCAACAUGAAACAACAAGUUAACUUAGCUGAGAAUGAUGGUAGUUUAAAAAUAAUGCAGCAUUGGCUAGGAUUGUUCCUAGGUCACAAAAACAAUCUUACAAAUAGAGUUUCUGCUGUUGUCACUGGUUUUAGAGAGUACCUUCGUGAAUGAAGAUAAAAAGUCAUUUAUGUUAUUUUUUAAAAGCCAAGACAUAAUAUUGUUAAUCCUCAUACUAUUUACUAAAAAACUUUAUAAAUAUUGUUACGAUGUUAUAAUUCAAGUUGUCGUAAUUAAUAAUUUUGAUCAUUUCAUUAUUAUACUGUAAAAAAUAUUUUUUAUUUAUAACAUUUAUUUCACAUAUAUUAAAAACAUGAGGAAUAAAUAUUACACUGAGGAAAAUUUUAAGGAAAAUAUAGAAUUUUUAAAUGUUAUUAG
rnacentral:lncRNA from 1 species